GCUCAGGCUAGAGGGGAGAAAACAGAUGCCAACCCACCCAACAAUCAUAGAGAUGAAGCUUAGAACUCGGAAGCAUGGAGAAAGGAGCAAUUCAUGACAGCCAGGAUGGACAGGGGAGGCUUCACACAGAGGUCUACUAUGAAGGCGAAAUGAAAUUCAUAUGUGACCAAGGGUCUGGUCGGCUACAUCUUGUAAAACACCUGCUACAGAGAGGACUUGCUGUUCUCAGACCUCACCCGGGCAGAGUAGAAGUAAGGUUAACAGAAUCAACCUAAGAACUAAAACAUUGCUAAUAUUGUUGUAUAGACCUCUGUUCUUCCUCCCCUAUCCUACCCCUGCCUCCACAACUAUGAACAUUGUAGUCAAACUGUUAAAAGGUCACAUUACCAUUCUGGGCAGCAGUAAGAAUGAUGCCUGCUUCUCAUCAGAAACAAUGUAAGUCAGAGUGUGGAAUGAUCGCUCUAAAAUGCUAAAACAAAAUUCAAGUUGGAAUUCUAUAGCCAGUGGGAAAAAAUAUCCUUGAAAAAUGAAGGCAAAAUAAAGAUAUUUUCAGACAAUUGAAGCUGUUGCCAGUAGGUCUGCUGUACAUGAAAUUCUAAAGGAAGUUCUUUGUGCUAAAAGGAAAUGAUCUUGGCUGGAAAUCAGGAUGUGAAGAAGGAAUGGAGAAUACCAGCAAGUAUGUGGGCAAAUAUGAACGUCUGGUUUUUGUCUUAAAUUCUUCAAAGAGGCUACUCUGAAGACCUUCCGAGACCAUAAGCUGAGAUUAUGGGGCUCCUGCCUAAGUAUAAUUCAUAAAUAGAUGUAAAAUAAACCAUAAGUGUAGUGAAGUUAAAGUUCUGACUUAUCCCACGGUAACUAUUUCAAUGCUUUCAAAAAUAAAUGUAAUUCUUAAUA